rnacentral:rRNA from 1 species
CCUACGGGUGGCAGCAGUGGGGAAUAUUGCACAAUGGGGGAAACCCUGAUGCAGCGACGCCGCGUGAGUGAAGAAGUAUUUCGGUAUGUAAAGCUCUAUCAGCAGGGAAGAAAAUGACGGUACCUGAUUAAGAAGCCCCGGCUAACUACGUGCCAGCAGCCGCGGUAAUACGUAGGGGGCAGGCGUUAUCCGGAUUUACUGGGUGUAAAGGGGGCGUAGACGGCAUCACAAGUCUGGAGUGAAAUGCCGGGGCUUAACCCCGGAACUGCUUUGGAAACUGUGCAGCUAGAGUGCGGGCGAGGUAAGGGGAAUUCGUGGUGUAGCGGUGAAAUGCGUAGAUAUUAGGAGGAACACCAGUGGCGAAGGCGGCUUACUGGACUGUAACUGACGUUGAGGCUCGAAAGCGUGGGGAGCAAACAGGAUUAGAUACCCGUGUAGUC